AGAGAAAAGAAAAAGAAAAGAAAGAAAGUCAGGAUUGAACAGUAGAGAAUGAUAACGAGAAAAAAAAAGAAAGAAACAGACAAAAGCGCUGGUAAACAAAGUUGGUGGCGGUGCACUGUUGGUCUGGUCUUUGGUUUGGUCAGUAUGUCAUAAUAUCCUCCCUGCGUAUUUUAGCAUCUCAUGUAUCUCGUUUGCGUUUCUUCCAGUUCUUCAUUUUCUCCGCUAACGAGAAAUUAGAGAAGUUGUAUUUUACGGCGAUAAUUAUG
rnacentral:misc_RNA from 1 species